rnacentral:tRNA from 1 species
GCAGGGGUCGCACAGAGGUAUGUGCAAAGAGGUUGUCACCCUCUUAUUCCGAAAGGAUAUGUGGGUUCGAAUCCCACCCCCUGCG